rnacentral:rRNA from 1 species
UACGUAGGGGGCAAGCGUUGUCCGGAAUUAUUGGGCGUAAAGAGCGCGUAGGCGGUCCGAUAAGUCGGCUGUGAAAGUCCAGGGCUCAACCCUGGAAAGCCGGCCGAUACUGUCGGACUAGAGUCCGGAAGAGGCAAGUGGAAUUCCAGGUGUAGCGGUGAAAUGCGUAGAUAUCUGGAGGAACACCGGUGGCGAAGGCGACAUCCUGGACCGGCAUUGACGCUGAGGCGCGAAAGCCAGGGGAGCAAACGGG